UGAGCAAUCUGCCUAGAUGUGGGGGAUAGCCGGCCCAACGGCCGGGUAAUACCGCAUACGCUCUCCUGGUGGCAUCACCGGGUGAGGAAACUUUCGAGGCGUCUAGAGGAGCUCGCGGCCUAUCAGCUAGUUGGUGGGGUAAUGGCUCACCAAGGCGACGACGGGCAGCUGGUCUGAGAGGAUGGCCAGCCACAUUGGGACUGAGACACGGCCCAGAUCCGUACGGG
rnacentral:rRNA from 1 species